rnacentral:lncRNA from 1 species
UCGCGCUGCCCACCAUCUGCCGCGUCGACGCGCCCCCGCCGAGGCUCUGCGCUGCCCUCGGGGUGCCCGUCGCCGAGCCGCCGGGCGGCGCCUUCCCGACGGAGUCAGGUACGGCACGACCGCUCCCCGCCGCGUGCAGUCUUAACGCUCCGCUUUCGCUACGCCUUUUCCGUUUCUUUUUCGCAAUGUGACCGUCCUAAACUGUAGAACAACCUUUUUUGAUAAUCGUGCACUAAUCAACGACUUGUAAUUUACUCGUAUUAGAAUUAGAAUUUCACAUACUGUUAGCUCAAAAUUAGCAAGUCAUUUGCAACCUUAAUUCGACAAACUCCCGUUACGAUAGGCCUCCUUUGUCAAAUCAGCUGUCAUCUAGCACGCGCGGUGCCGCAGAAUCUUUAUUCCACGGUAUGCGAAAAUUGGGUUUUUUGGGUAUGCUGAAGAGCAUAAUACAGCUACUUUACGUAAUUAAGUAAUACAACGUAAUGCAAUUUUGUGUAGUCGUUGUGAUAUUAGUCAGUGGCUAGAACAGUGAAGGAAUCAAAAUAUUCGGCCGAACAACCUCCUUUUUUUGGAUAGCCCGGAUGUCGGCACUGCCAAAAAGCAGCACGGCACGAAACUGUUUGAUCAAAAAUUUCUCAUAUACCACUUGCUUCACACGGCGAGAUUGAUCAUACUAACACAUUGUCUCAACGCCCAGCAGGACCAUCCGGCAUGCCGGCGAACGCGCCGUCAACGGCGGCCUCCGGAAUCGGCGGCGCCGGCGGUCCGGCGACGCACCGGCCCACAAGACACCACCUGCUUCUGCCGCUCCUG